CAUUGCUUCUUGACUUCAUAUAAGAAGUAAUUCCUGCCCAGUGACAUUAGUUCAACGGCCGCGGUAUCCUAACCGUGCAAAGGUAGCAUAAUCACUUGCCCAUUAAUUGUGGGCUAGAAUGAACGGACCAACGAAAUAAGAGCUGUCUCUGAAAGUUCCAUAAAAAUUAAUCUCUAACUGAAGAGUGUUAGAUAAUGUUGGAGGACAAGAAGACCCUAUAGAGCUUUAUUAUAUAUUAGUAAUAAUAAACUUUUAAAAAUUCGGUUGGGGCGACCUGGGAAAAUAAAAAUCAUCCCUCAAAAAAUUAGAUAAAUAAAUCCAUCUACUGACCCUUACUCAAGAUCAAUAAAUCAAGCUACCUUAGGGAUAACAGGCUAAUCCCGCUAAAGAGUCCUUAUUAAUAGCGGGGUUUGGCACCUCGAUGUUGGCUUAGGGAAUCAAUGCGGCGCAAAAGUCGCAUAACGAUGGUUUGUUCAACCAAUAACUCCCUACAUGAUCU
rnacentral:rRNA from 1 species